AUGGGGGAUAAGCUUCAUCGUUGGGAGGGAAACAACCCGGAUCACCAGCUAAGGCCCCUAAAUGACUGCUCAGUGAUAAAGGAGGUGGGGGUGCAGAGACAACCAGGAGGGGAGCAUUCCGCCUUAGAGGGAAGCAACCGCGAAAGCGAGGGUCGACGAAGCGGAAGCGAGAAUGUCGGCUUGAGUAACGAAAACAAUGGUGAGAAUCCAAUGCCCCGAAAACCCAAGGUUUCCUCCGCAAGCUUAGGUGGAAGGCGAAGAAGGCCCCCUUCCGAGGGGGCCCGAGCCAUCAGUGAGAUACCACUCUGGAAGAGCUCGGAUUCUAACCUUGUGUCGGACUCGCGGGCCAAGGGACAGUCUCAGGUAAAUAGUUUCUAUGGGGCGUAG
rnacentral:rRNA from 1 species